ensembl:lncRNA
CAAUGAGGAGAGCACGGAGGCAGCUGGGGCCACGGCCGUGGUCAUGAACUCCUGGUGCUGCAGAAUGAAGCCAAAAUUUUGUGCAGAGUGCCCUUUCCUCCUCUUCGCCAGGCACCAGGAAGCCAACAUCAUUUUGUUCUGCGGCAGGUUCUGUUCUCCAUAAGAGGAGAUCACCACAGGCCCAUAUAGACGGGCACAGACAGUGGCCACACACAUGGGGUCUGCAGAGAAUGAGGAUCCUGGAGUCACCUGGAACGGAUCAUGCCUGGCUUCAUCAGUGUGAGUGAUGUCCUUACAAGAAUGAAGAAAUUUGGACACAGAUGUAGAGGGAAGAUGACCAUGAGAAGACAGCAGAGACUGGAAAGAUGCUUACAAGACAAGGAAUGCCUGGGACCAUGAGCAGCUGGAAAGAACAAGGAAGGAACCUCCCCUAGAGCUUCACAGAGAGCCUGGUUCCACCAAUACCUUGACUUCAGACUUGUAGGCUCCAGAACUGUGAGAAAAUAAAUUUUUGUUGUUCUGAG